UAUUAUAUAAUUCUUUUUCUUUUAUUUCCGCCCCAAAUCGCCGUUUCCUCCAAACCACUGCCGAUCCCGACCCUUCUCCCUCUCUGCCCCGAUGCGAUCCCGAUCUCCCCUCUCUUCCUCCUCUCUCUCGCGGACGAAGCAAGCCAGAGCUCCGGUGAUCUCCUUCUGCCGGCAUCGACCAGUACGCUCAGAUCCAGCCAAAGUCCCUUCUCCCGCCCGAUCCUUUCUUUCCGCUCGCCUUCGAUCGCUGCCGAAGCUUCACCAUCCCGACUUUGCCGUCGACCUAGGGGAGCAGACGCUGGUACAGAUCCGAUCGUGGAUGACCUUCUCCAGUCUUAGGUGAGAGCAUCGAUCUCUUUCUCCUCCCGAUGUUGCCGGCGACGCCACCGAUCCCGAUCACCUACGAGCUUAUCACAGCCCUAGGUCACCGACGCACCUUCUCUUCUUGGCGGCUGAAUUAGGUCACGGAUCGGAGGGGAUCAGUGAGUUUGUUCUUGAGUUGUCGGGCAGAGUCUAUGUUUGUAAUUGAUCAGUGAUGAUCUUCCGAUUGGGUGAUUUCUUCUGGAGACAACCUUUUGAGAUCAGCUUCUUGCUGUGUUUGAGAUAUCGGUUGAAGUGGGAAGAGAAUUCCAACAGGUGUUGUAUUCUAUGAUCGGGAAUUGAGUGUUGUGGAUCAACAAGCGUAGCUGUGAAGUUUUGUUGUGUUGUGGUGUUCUUUAAUCCUUUCUUGGUUCCGGCAGCACACCAACCAGCAGCCUCCUAGUUCCAACAUCAACAAUAGCUGGGAUUGAGGACUCUGAUUCGAGACGGCGUCUCGACGUCGACUUUGGAUUGCGUGAUUUGUACCUUCUAUUUGAG